CUAAUAUCCGGAACUGAUGACGGUACCUGAAGAAUAAGCACCGGCUAACUACGUGCCAGCAGCCGCGGUAAUACGUAGGGUGCAAGCGUUAAUCGGAAUUACUGGGCGUAAAGCGUGCGCAGGCGGUUCGGAAAGAAGGAUGUGAAAUCCCAGGGCUCAACCUUGGAACUGCAUUCUUAACUACCGGACUAGAGUAUGUCAGAGGGGGGUAGAAUUCCGCGUGUAGCAGUGAAAUGCGUAGAUAUGCGGAGGAAUACCGAUGGCGAAGGCAGCCCCCUGGGAUAAUACUGACGCUCAUGCACGAAAGCGUGGGUAGCAAACAGGAUUAGAUACCCUGGUAGUCCACGCCCUAAACGAUGUCAACUAGCUGUUGGGCCCUUCGGGGCUUAGUAGCGUAGCUAACGCGUGAAGUUGACCGCCUGGGGAGUACGGUCGCAAGAUUAAAACUCAAAGGAAUUGACGGGGUACCCGCACAAGCGGUGGAUGAUGUGGAUUAAUUCGAUGCAACGCGAAAAACCUUACCUACCCUUGACAUGUCUGGAAUCCUUUAGAGAUAGAGGAGUGCUCGCAAGAGAACCGGGAACACAGGUGCUGCAUGGCUGUCGUCAGCUCGUGUCGUGAGAUGUUGGGUUAAGUCCC
rnacentral:rRNA from 1 species